CUCAACGGAAAAUCCGUGUUGGCGCUAUUUUAUAGUUUCACCCUGACGCCGAGAGGUCGUACAUAGUGGUGGCACUCAAACGUCAGUAAAUGCGGCAUAGUACCUCUUCACGACUUUGGCGUCACUUGCGUUUUGGCUUCCGACUUAAGGACAUCUCGUGAUCAUAUCGUCUGCAUUCAGAAUGAAUUCGUCAUUUCCUAUUCUCUGGAGCAGCACUCCUGUACGUCCAUGAGUGAAGACGCUCAAGCGGCGUCUUUCUUACAAGGGAGAAGUGCCAUCCCCCGUGGAGAGAAAGGGAGACACGCGACUUUGGCGUCACUUGCGUUUUGGCUUCCGACUUAAGUACAUCUCGUGAUCAAAUUGUCUGCAUUCAGAAUGAAUUCUUCAUUUCCUAUGGAGAGAAAGGGAGACACACUGACUCCCUACUCCACUCCGAAGUCGCCCUCCUGGAUGGAGGGUGUAGAGGAGAGUGCGCCAAAAAGGGCGAGAAAACGUCUCUCUUUUGGGGAGAGACCCCGACAACGGAGAGAAAGGGAGACACCACGUGUUUGCUAGCACCGACUCCGACGUCACCGAACUCGCCCUCCUGGGUGGAAACACCAAAUCCGAGGCAAGAGAUCAUACUUCUCGUGGCAGCCUCAAGGCAGAUCAUCAGGGAAAUAGAGGAACAGUUAGAAUUUAUUUUAGAAAAUGAUUACUAUUUUGGCUGAUUGGGAAAGUAAAAAAUUUAAAAUUUAGAACUCCUCGUGACAGCCUCAAGGCAGAUCAUCAGGGAAAUAGAGGAACAGUUAGAAUUUAUUUUAGAAAAUGAUUACUAUUUUGGCUGAUUGGGAAAGUAAAAAAUUUAAAAUUUAGAACUCCUCGUGACAGCCUCAAGGCAGAUCAUCAGGGAAAUAGAGGAACAGUUAGAAUUUAUUUUAGAAAAUGAUUACUAUUUUGGCUGAUUGGGAAAGUAAAAAAUUUAAAAUUUAGAA